AAAGUUUACAUACACCUAGUUCUAUUAAAUUUCGACACGUUUAUUUGUUUCAAAAUGGAUAAAUUUUGUGGUUUUUUUCUAUCCAUUUCAUGAUAUGUAUAUUUAGCAUUAAAUAUAGCAUAUCAAAAUAUUUUUUUUUUUACACAAAUAAAAAAAAAUUAAAUUAAAGCUUAAAAUGAGCAUAAUUUAUAUCAAAAAAGUUUACGUACACUUAUGAUUGUUUAUAUAAAUCAAAAGUAAUUACAAUACUUUUAACGGGGUUUGGCCUACAUUUUGUUGCUAUUAGUGUCCCUAGACAUCGUUGUAUGCUCCCCACUCAAUUUCUAGUAUUAUUUCCGGAUAUUUUGACCCAUUAAGUCCAUGAUCCAGCUUUUUGGCCUUAUUUUGAUGAAAUUCGAUGUUUUCGAAUACGGUUUUCCAAAAAGUUCCAGAUAUUUUGAAUAGGAUUAAUGUCUAGCGAUUGCGGGACCUAUGGAGUUAUUUUUAUUUCCAUAACAACCAUUCACGUACAAGAUAAGUUGUGUGUUUUGGGUCGUUAUCCUGUGGUAAAUAGAAAUGGCUGCUAUUAACAGCCGAUUUAAGCACACUUAAAAUUUAAAUCUUUUUCUUAAAAUGCUCAGAUACAUAUGCUUAUACAUUUUUGAAAUGUACACAAAAAAAUAAAUCCCCAAACAGUAAGGAAUUUGUUGAAGAGUGCUGGUUAUCAUAGACGAGUCGCGCGUCGUCAGCCAUACAUAUAUA